CAAACUCUUAAAACAUCACAGGCUCUAAUGCAACAAGGGGAAACUCGUUGGCUGCGGUCAACAAAAACUACAGCUACCCAACCCUGCUCUCUGUCAAAAUCAAACCAGUGAAAGACAGACUGACAACGUCCUCUUAAUGUCGCCGCUAGCACCCACGUGACUCCCGUUACACAUCACCAUAGCAACCAAACAAAUGAAAACCCAGUGAUCAUUAAAAUUCAAUACAUUUAAUUAUGGCUCCUACAAGGAGAAACGAGCAAAAGAUACAGAUAUCACACUCAAGGAGAUUACACGGAUACUGGACUCUUCAGCCUGACCUCCAUGUAAGCCACUUGAUACAAUGGCAUUAAAAAUGGAGGAAAUGAGCAUGGUGGGAUUUUUUUUCUUCAGCGAUGUGGAAAUGGAAAAAAGCCCCAUCAAUUUUCAAAAUAAAGUUUUCCUGCAACACUUUGUAUUUGGUGACGGAUGAUUGGGAUCCAGAGAAGAAGAAAAAAAGAAGAAGAAACUAGUAUGAGACCAAAACCAGUAAAUGACACAUACAACAAAUUACACAAAAUGGAAAAAAGUUUCAUGUGACAGAAGUAAACUGCUCUCAGUCAUCACCCUUUGAACAACAUUUAGUUGGAUUUUAUUUUCAGACAAUAAUGAGACUUAUACAAAGAUUUAAAAGUAUUAUGCAUGUAAUAAUAUUUAUGCAUCUUAUAUUUAUUUCAUUAUCCUGCUUUUAUUCUGUUGUUUUAGCAGAUAAUCUUAUGAUCUACUGAAUUGCUUUAAUAUGCACUCACCAGACACUUUAUUAGGUACACCUUACUACUCAUUUCUUCAUGGUUCAGCGAGCUGCUGGAGAUAUUCCUCAGAGAUUUUGGUUCAUAUCGUCGCGACAGACACAGCUGCUGCAGAUUUGUUGGCUGCACUUCCAUGAUGUGACUCUCCUGUUCCACCACAUCCCUAGUGUGCUUUGUUGGAUUGACA